AUCCAAGCUUAACUCCACAGUUCACAUCCACGAGGAAGGUGAUGUUGUUGCUGUCGCUGACAGACUAUUUUUCCUGGGUUGUGGUUGGUGGGUGUUACUGCGAAUGCUUACAAGGUUGCUGAUUCUCCUUCUAAGAGGUGGAUUUGUUUUGUGCCCAAAAGAUUGUGACUUUGUUGAAAGUUCGUAAAUGGAAAAGGCAGCUGCCCCCUGCGGCUUGGAACGCUCAAUU